ACGGGAGGCAGCAGUGGGGGGUAUUGCACAAUGGGGGAAGCCCUGAUGCAGCGACGCCGCGUGAGUGAAGAAGUAUUUCGGUAUGUAAAGCUCUUUAAGCUGGAAAGAUAAUGACGGUACCAGCAGAAUAAGCCCCGGCUAACUACGUGCCAGCAGCCGCGGUAAUACGUAGGGGGCAAGCGUUAUCCGGAUUUACUGGGUGUAAAGGGAGCGUAGACGGCAAAGCAAGUCUGAAGUGAAAUCCCGGGGCUCAACCCCGGAACUGCUUUGGAAACUGUUUAGCUAGAGUGCAGGAGAGGUAAGCGGAAUUCCUAGUGUAGCGGUGAAAUGCGUAGAUAUUAGGAGGAACACCAGUGGCGAAGGCGGCUUACUGGACUGUAACUGACGUUGAGGCUCGAAAGCGUGGGGAGCAAACAGGAUUAGAUACCCUGGUA
rnacentral:rRNA from 1 species